GAAAACAGCUGUGCUCCUGUCCUGUCACCUCAGCAGGGAGCAGGGUGCUGUGGUUACCUGAUUUACAGCAUGGAAGGAUCAAGAGCCUGCCCCUUGUUAAGUCCUGUCUGAGUGAACUGCUCUGAGAAGGGAAGUCGACAGUGAUCAGCUGAAUGGGCAGUGCUAUGUCUGGGGGAGCAGCAGAGCUGUAAAUACAGACAUCCAGGUAAAGGAAUAGUGGGUAGCAGUAAACUAGCCACAGAAAGCUGGAUCAGAAGGCAGAUUUAGAAGUGACAGCUACCCAGAAACAGGAGAGGAGGUCAGGCUGAAGAGACAUUGAACACAGGCUGCAGUUCCUGGAUGUUUUCAGCCCACACAGAGGAUCCAGCUACUUAGUUGACGUGCAACCUCACAGGGAGAUAGACGUGCGCAAACGUCAAAAAGGUUUUUCUUAAAAAUGGAUCGCGAGGAACAUGAAAGGCAACGUAUUUGAUCUUUUUUAGAGGUAUCUGAUUCAGAAAGAGAAUCGGAGAUUUCCUUGGAGAGUCUUCUGAGGAGCCACCAGCAAAAGUUCAAGGUGGACGGAAAAGAUAUCAAGUUUGUUCUGCUAAAAAAGAUCGCAAGACCACCGCAAGACCACCCACACAUGCACAAUCUGUAACAAGUUUAUUUGCCCCGAACAUAUUGUUCCAUACUGCAGCAAGUGUGCUGAUAUGCUGCAAGAAAGUGAUUAGUAUAAAGGUGGGUACACACUAAUAGAUAUAUCUGCAGAUCAAUUGAUCUGCAGAUAUAUCUAUGUACGGAUCGAGCAGUGUGCUGUGCAUACACACUGCCCGAUCCGUCGGGGGACUGACGUCCAGUUCAGCUGUCAAUCACCGCCGGCCGCCGCAGCAUGUGUACGGGCGGUCGGACGACCGCCCCGUACACACACAGCGACGCGCCAAUAUAUCGUUAGAUAUAUUGGCCGUCGGCUGUGCUACGCGGCCGACGCGAUACGUCUGUGAACGACGGAGUUCACAGACGUAUCGGCCGUACACACUGGCCGACGGUCCCGCGAUAUAUCGGCCGUUCAAGAGAACGGCCGAUAUAUCGACCAGUGUGUACGGGCAAUAAGACUGCAUUUAUUUCCCAAAGAUCUCGUAUUCACUUACACCAAAACGUAAAAUUUAUGUCAAAAAGUUUACUUUUAUCUGGUUUAAUAACAGUGAGACUAAGGAUGUCUAUUUUUGUUAAUU